UAUGUUUUAAUGUAUAGAGGCAUGUAAAUUUUUGAAGUUUAAAGAAAUAGUUUAAUUCUAUUAAACAUAA
rnacentral:tRNA from 1 species